UACUUAUCAAGAAAGACGUAGGGAAUGGCCCUUUGAUGUCUUAGCAACCUGUUGAUUAACAAGGUGCUAAUUCCUUCUGCAAUAGCAGAAAAGAUGAGUU
rnacentral:ncRNA from 2 species